UUGCGAAUUAGGUGGUGCGUUGAGAAUUUCAACAAUGCAUUGAGAAAUAUUUCAAAUAAAAAAAAACAAAACAUCAAAAACUAAAAUAAGAUAAACUAAAUCUACCUAACAAAAUAAAAUAAAUCUCUACCUAAUAAAAUAAAAUAAAUCUACCUAAAUUUGAAUUUUUUUUCCAAAAAUCCGAUCGGUAGAAUGGACCACGAUUGAGGCUCGGCGCGCGUCUAGGCUCAAGGACGGUGGCUGUGGUGGUGGGUCACCGUCGGUCGGAGGUCUCGUUCGUCGGAGCUCCGGCGAAAGUGGACCAGCAGCGAAACAGGGGAGUCCGGCGUCGCGGGGGCUGCAGGGCAAUCGCUCGGGGAAGCUCGGAGCAGGCGCGGUGCUGGGCUGAGAGGUGACCAAGGCUGGCAGGGCGGCAACGCAGCGUCCGGCGGGGCAGCAGAGCGGCGGUGCGUCGGAGCAGAGACGGAGCUAGGCGGCUCGGGCGGCUCACGGACAGAGCAGGGAGGAGCCGGCUCGAGAUCUGCUGGGCGCGGGCAGAACCGGAGCAGAAGUGGCGUCACAGGCAGCAGCUUCGAGCGGGCGGAGCAGAGGCCGCUGGGCUGACGGAGGCGGGUCGCAUCGGCGAGGGGCGGAACUUCGGACAGAGCAGGGAGAGGCGGAGUGGCG
rnacentral:lncRNA from 1 species